rnacentral:rRNA from 1 species
AGGACGAACGCUGGCGGCGUGCUUAACACAUGCAAGUCGAGCGGAAAGGCCCUUCGGGGUACUCGAGCGGCGAACGGGUGGAGUAACGACGUAGGAGCAAUCUGCCCCUAGCUCUGGGAUAGCUCCGGGAAAACCGGGAUUAAUACCGGAUAUGACCACUUUAGACAUCUGCUGUGGUGGAAAGAAUUUCGGCUAGGGAUGAGCUCGCGGCCUAUCAGCUUGUUGGUGGGGUAACGCCUACCAAGGCGACGACGGGUA